rnacentral:ncRNA from 1 species
AAUGAUAAAGCCAAACCUGUCGUGAGUCAGGGGCGGAAGGCCACAGGUCUUUAGGAAGAUAGCUGGGCUACGAUAA